rnacentral:rRNA from 1 species
AGUGAACGCUGGCGGUAGGCCUAACACAUGCAAGUCGAACGGCAGCACAGUAAGAGCUUGCUCUUACGGGUGGCGAGUGGCGGACGGGUGAGGAAUACAUCGGAAUCUACUUUUUCGUGGGGGAUAACGUAGGGAAACUUACGCUAAUACCGCAUACGGCCUACGGGUGAAAGCAGGGGAUCUUCGGACCUUGCGCGAUUGAAUGAGCCGAUGUCGGAUUAGCUAGUUGGCGGGGUAAAGGCCCACCAAGGCGACGAUCCGUAGCUGGUCUGAGAGGAUGAUCAGCCACACUGGAACUGAGACACGGUCCAGACUCCUACGGGAGGCAGCAGUGGGGAAUAUUGGACAAUGGGCGCAAGCCUGAUCCAGCCAUACCGCGUGGGUGAAGAAGGCCUUCGGGUUGUAAAGCCCUUUUGUUGGGAAAGAAAAGCAGCAGGUUAAUACCCCGCUGUUCUGACGGUACCCAAAGAAUAAGCACCGGCUAACUUCGU